GCCGGGAUGGCUCAGUUGGCAGAGCGUCGGACUCAUAAUCCGAAGGCCUCGGGUUCAAUCCCCGAUCCCGGCA
rnacentral:tRNA from 4 species